UGAAUUGUACAUCGAUGAUCGAUCAAACUUGUCAUGUUUAUCAUGAAAGUGAGAAAAUCUUGCUCAAAUCAUCAACUUGGUAAUUAAUUUAUGCACAGUUGGAGUGCUUUGUUUAUUGAAGGUAGUUUAAAAAUUAGUGCCAAAAUGCUUGUGUUGUGAAAAGCAUGUUCAGUCUAUCAAAGAAGUCACAAGUUUUAAAAUACCUUGGAAAAUUGCCGAAAACACAUAUACAAGAAUUGUCAAGGCUAGCUUAGCGUUUUCCAGUCGCUUCUAGGUACGGAAUUUCAUAAGCAUUAAAGUGUUGCUCGAACUGCUUUCAAAUCAGGCCACUAAAUAGAGGUGAACAAUAAGGUAUCAAUCUUUUGCGUUUUGAAUAAGGACAGAAUGUGGUUUUCAGCUUCUACGAUGGCAGUCAAGCAACAUGUCACCGAUCUGGUUCAGAAUCAACCGAAACCUAACAUCGCAAAUAUGAUUGCUAUAAUAGAGAUGCUACAGGCGAACCCAGAAACUCUCACAAAUGAAGAUGGGUUGAUCAAAAUUUGCGAGCAACUUGUUUAUCAGCUUGCCCACACACCAGCAAGUCGGGAAGCUGCCGAGAUCAAGACAAUGAAACUUGAAAUUGGAAAAGUUUGUCAUUUUUUUCGCGAACUCAUAGAACGAGUGCCUCAACAACAUAGCCAAAUUCGCCAAGCCUGUUUGACGGUGCUAUAUAAUCAAAUAAUAGCUUUAGGCAAAGAAACAUCCAAUUACGCAUCGGCUGUGCUAGUAUUGGUAGAUAAAUCAAUGAUUAACAACGGCGUUACAUUAAUUCUGCAGCAAUCAAACAGUGACAUAAAAAAAAUAUUCAAAACUCUUUCACAUUGGCUCGAAACCUAUGAUUUUGCCCCUGAUUUAGCUGUAUGGGUUUUAGAAAUUCUUAUCAGAUUACGGAAGCAACAAAAACAAGCUUUAGUUCAGGAGUUAUCACUGGAUAUUAUUGAUUCAUAUUUUGGAAAGUUAAUAUUUCCGACUUACCGCUCUAAGUUAGGGUCUGUUGUGAUGUACAUAUUGCAGUCCAACGUUAACACACCAGACAUUUUGCACAAGAUUACACCAAAGGUCUCUAAAGUAUUGAAGACCCUCAGUAAGGAUGCAACAAUGAGUACGAAUUCUCCAAAUCUUUUCCAAUUUUUAGUGGAUAUCCUUUCCGCUCUUAUGUUACAAAAUUCAACGAUGGGUAAUGAAGGAUAUAGAAACGAGGAACUUGAUAUAUGUUUGGAAAGGUAUUCGAAAUCAAAAAAUUUUCGGCAAUUGCUCGAUAAUCCGCUGUGGCAUGAUACUUCGCACAGCAUUAUGGUUGCAUCAACGAAUGCGAGAGUCGGGCUGGUGAAUCUUGGUAAUACUUGCUAUAUGAAUAGUGUGUUACAAGCGUUGGUUAUGACAAAACAAUUCAGCAGGGAAGUACUUUUAUCAAAAAUUGAUGCACCGUUGUUUUUGCAAAUCCAGAAGCUUUUAGCUUUAUUGCUCCACUCAGUACGACCAGAGUUAACUCCGCGAGCUUUACUCGCAGCAGCUCGCCCUCCAGAUUUUGUUCCAGGGUAUCAACAAGAUUCAUCCGAGUUUCUUGGUUACUUAUUGGAAAAGCUUCACGAACAAGAGAAAAAACUUAUCAAAGAUCAAUUUGAGAGUAAUUUCAAAGGUCACUGGACGCUUGGCGAUAAAAAUUCCCAAAUGCAAGAAUCAUUUUCCUCUGUGAAUGGGAUUACUCAUAAUGAAUUGCGAAACAAUGAAAGUCAACUAGGUCAACAGGAAAGUGUCGCUCAAUGCAGUCAGACACUGCUUCCGCCUACGCUUAUACAAAAAACAUUCGAUGGUAAAUUGUUUGUAACCUACCAGUGUAAUGAAUGCGGCUCACAAAGUUCGAAUCUGGACGCGUUUCGAUCAUUUGAGCUCUCUUUUCCGGAAUCGAGUGAUCUAGGAAUAGAAUAUUCCGUUCAAAAAUUGCUUGAUUUCUAUUGUUCCUCAGAAAAGCUGAUAGGCGAUAAUCAAUAUUUCUGUGAUAAAUGUAAAAGAUUGUGUAACGGAGAACGUUCCAUUCGCAUAUUGAAAUCGCCAAGAAAUCUCAUUCUUACUCUCAAACACUUCCGAUAUGACCAGCAAAGACAUACUAGAGCAAAGCUAAUGAAUAAAGUGCUACACGAUGAAAUUAUAUCCUUGCGAAUAGUUACGGAAACUGGGCAUUCCUCUGUUAUGCAGUAUGUACUGUAUGCAGCUGUAGUACAUGCGGGGACUAGCAUGGAUUCUGGACAUUAUUAUACCUACGCACAGGAUAAAUCAGAUUGUUGGUAUAAAUUCAAUGACAACUUCGUUACAAAAUGCUCUGCUGAUGAAUUGCAUUCAUUAUCUAGCCCGAAUACACCGUAUAUUUUGUUCUAUCAAAUGCAAUAUUUGGCAACAGUCGCCGAUGGAACGAACGAUCAUUGCAUAGACUUAGACGAAGAUAUGGAUGAUCCAUCAGUUGUUAAAUCGUCAGCUAGCUCUUCAAAAUCUAUUGAAGAUUGUCAACUACCAGAGCUUGAAGAACUUCCUUCGCAUUUACGUGACAUUAUAGUCGGUGAUAACCAGUCUUAUAAAGAAGAAAUGCGCAAUGAGAAUAGGAAAAUAACCAAACAUCGCAUCGGUACUAAUAAAAUCGUUUUGCCAAAAAAUUACGAUUCUGACAACGAAGAUCCGCCACCGAACUCGUGUGGUAGUAAGAUAGAUUACAAUAAUCGUUUCAUCUUCUAAUGAUUGGCUAUGAAGUCUGAAAAGCGCUUAAAGCGUUUGAUAUCACACCCAACAAAAUAUUUUUAAAGGUGGCCCAUGUUUGUUAUAGCAACAAAAUAAAUACUUGUCGUUCAACUGAAUUCAUCAAUCUUCAAUAAACCUUUAAAUUAGAAAAAAAUGUUUCUCUAGAACAGUGUCCUAGUUGUGACCUGGAGGCAACCUAACUGCUGUCAAAAUAUUUAUUCCCUUGGUUUUGACCCAGUAUUGACCUGGUAGCACCUCCAGAGCCCACCGUAAAUUUUGUCAUUUUCAGCACACCAACGCAUGAGCUUAGUUUGUAAAUAACUAUCUGGUAUUUCUUUUUUAUUUGUAUUGUAAAUCGCAGUAUCGUUUUUUUUUAAUUCUUGGUAGGUUGACACUACCCCAGUUGAAUAAAGAAGUUCGCUAUUA